UUAGCUUUCUACCGUGGCCAGCCCAACUUCUGGGCAAUGCAAGCCUGGGCAGAGAGCUCCGUGACCGGCGUGCGGUGGGGGGCAGAGGGGAAGGGUUGGGCGUUCCAACCCCCACGGCUGUCACAGACAGAAGCUUCAAGGGUGCACAAGAAGCACUUCCCUGGCUGUCGCCUCUGCAGUCCCCCUGAAUGCCACGGCAGCAGCAGGGGGCAGAACUCAGCCCUGCAACCUCCUCUGACCUGGCGGAGAAUCCCCGUCGACUGGUGGCGCUAUAGGGGCUAGGACACACAGAGGCACGGUUGCAAAUCCCUUACAGCAGGAGGCAGCGGCACACAGACGCUGGCUAUUCCCGGGGCCAGCACCAGCAGCUGCGUCAGCUAGGAGAGGGGAGGCCAGGCUGGAGGAGUGAGAUGUGCCGAGGGAGCUCAGGAGAGGCCUCCACGGAGAUCAGAGCCCUGUUGUGUCAGACCCGACCGAGAUCAGGGCCCCGUCGUGCCGGGCGCUGCCCAGACCCCGACCGAGAUCGGGGCCCCGUCGUGCCGGGCGCUGCCCAGACCCCGACCGAGAUCGGGGCCCCGUCGUGCCGGGCGCUGCCCAGACACAGAAACUCUCCCCCUACCCCCUUUCUCUGGCUCUGCCCUUGAGAACCAGCACACGGGCCGCUCAUCCAGCAGGAAACCACCCCACUCCGCUGUCUCUGUUGUCAGCUCCCUUCUCCGCUCCUGGGACACAAGCCGGCUGUGGCAGGGAGCCAUGGGGUGGAGGAAGGUCACAUGAAACCUUCAUUUGGAUUUCAACUUUUUAUUUGGAUUAAUUUGUAAUAUCCAGCCGUACGCCUAUUUCAUGAACUAAGCCUGGCUCGAGGAGAUCACAAAAUCGAAACAUUAAGAAGAUGAACCAUGGCAGCGCGACCGCAGGGACAGAGCAUAUGUUCACUGGUGAAUCGUUCUGUGAUGAAGUGCAUCACAGAUGGUGACAAGCGGACCCAGCGAGCUGGAGUUUUCCUUCUUUCAGAAAACUGGCACCCAAUUCCUCCCUCUUUUCAAACCAGGACAGCUUGAACAUUGGCUGAAGGGCUGAUGUCACAUUCCACAGCAGGAAUAUGGUUCCUACAAUGCUGGGACCAAAAGAGCAAAUGCCAUCCUGGGAUGCUUAAAUGGGGAAAUCUCGAGUAGCAACAGAGAGGUUGUUUUCCCUCUGGGUUUGGCCCUGGUGCUGGGAUCCUGUGUCCAGUUCUGGUGCCCACCAUUUGAGAAGGAUGUUGAUAAAUUCGGGGGGGGGGGGGGGAGUUGAGAGAAGAGCCAAGAAAAAGAGCAAAGGGUUAGAAAACCUGCCUUACAGCGAGAGACUCAAGGAGCUCCGUCUAUUUUGCUUAAAGAGAAGGUUAAGGGGUCACUUGAUCCCAGUCUAUCAGCCCCUGCAAGGGGAACAAAUAUUUAAUAAUGGGCCCUUCAGUCUAGUAGAGAAAGGGUCUGACACGAGUAGCUGGAAGUUGAAACUAGACAAAUUCAGACUGGAAAUGAGGCCUACAUUUUUCACAGUGAGGGUAAUUAACAGCUGGAACAAUGUACUGAGGGUCGUGGUGGUUUCUCCAUCAUGGACAAUUUUUAAAUCAAGGCUGUUUUGAAUCAAGGGUGUUUUGCUAACAGAUCGGCUCUGGGAAUUAUUCGGGGGCAGUUCCCUGGCCCGUGUUAUACAGAGGACAGAUUGGAUGAUGACAAUGGGUUCUCCGAAUCUCUGAAACCGGUUGCUCCUAAGAUCGGUGCUCAGAGAAUUGGGGGUUCUACUCUAAAAGAAAAUCUGUUUUGAAAUGAAGAGUCAGUUCCCACGUGAGGGAAAUCCAAGCAUUGUAUGCUGAAAAUGUCCAAAUGGAAUGUUUUGACAUUCUGGAAAAUGCUUUUUGAUUUCUUUCGAUUUCCUAAAUGAAAAUUCACUGCAACUGACACAUUCCCACAGGAAGGUUUGAUUUUGAAGAACUGACACAGAACAAACAUUCAGCUGGAAAAUUUCUCACCUGCUCAACAACUGGGUGGCCAAACCCUUUCCCGCUUUGAUAGGGCCAGGGCUAUGCCAGGGAAGGAUUUCUGCCUGCUCCAUUCCCCGGGUUGGUGAGUAGCGUGCGUGAGUGAGUGGCAUCUGGGAGGCCUUUGAAUGAGCCCUUUGCGCUGAAUGUGUCACUUCAUGUUUCAAAUGCGGCAGUCAGCACUGAGCCAUCCCAUCCCUUAGGAUGGAGCCCUGGCAGGCUUGACUGGGGAAAACCUUCAAACCAUUUAUCUUGCAGUGACAAAGAGAAAGUUUAAUUUUAAAGGAUCUGUCAUCCCCCAAUCCCACGUGAGCUGCAUUCCAACAGCAAGCUGUUUCAUGGAGUACAUCAGAGAAACUCCCAGGGCCAGCGCCUGGCCUCGGUUUCUCCCAUGUAAAUCACUGGGCCAGAUCCCCAGCUGGUAUGGAUUGGCUGGCAACCUGGAUUUAAAACACAGAGGAGGCAUCUUUGCGCGCCUCUUUCCCAUAUUACCUGCAGAGUUCUGUGGAGCUGGCCGCGUCGGUUGGGCCGUGGUGUCUUUCCAGUCUUGUCUUUCCGUGUGCGGGUGUGAGACAGAGCGAAACACGUAGGCCUGCGCAAACGCAGACCCUGCCUCCUCUGCUGAUGUGAAAUCUCAAGCCACAAUUAAACAGAGAGUAAAACAGAGUGGGGUCUUCCAGGGAGGGAAUUACAAAGCAGCCCACAGAGGAGCAGCAAAGGGCCCUGAUCCAGGGAACACUUAAGCACCAGACUUUACACAAGUGAGGCGCCUAUGAGAGAACAUAGGGGUGCAAUCCACACCCCAGUAGCCAGGGGCCUGAGAGCCAGGUAAGCCCCACAUAAACCCCUGGGGGAUUUGAAAGGUACUUACAUCACAUGUCAGACCCUCUGUGCAGGGACGUCAGUUUCACAGCCAGAACCACUGGGGGUGUUUAAAUCAUGACAGAGUCGCUGCUCCUAGAAGCAAUGGGGCCAGAUCCCCAGCGGGCGUCGAUGGGCGUCGCUCCAUUGGAGUCAAUGGGGCCAGAUCCCCAGCGGGUGUCGAUGGGCGUCGCUCCAUUGGAGUCAAUGCGGCCAGAUCCCCAGCGGGUGUGAAUGGGCCAUAGCUAAGUCUAUUUACACUGACUGAGGAUCUUUCUCCUCGUCCUUCUUUUGGCAUCUUAAUGAAAGUAGCCGGAAUAUCAAAGUUACGGAAGAUUAAGGCUCCUGUGGAUUUCACUCUGGAGUGUAAAUAUGUUUAAUGAGCACUUUCAGCUUUUGUAAGCAUAAAUACAGUAUUUGCAAAAAAAACCCUUCUUUGAGAUGCCUUCCUCCCAGAAAGGAAUUAACCUUCUUCUUAAUGGGCCAUGGUGUGUGUAUUAUUCUGGGUUUAUCGUUCACCUAGUUUUUGCCUUCUAAUUGUGUGUGUAUGUGUCUGCACACACGCUGUGCAUGGGCAUUUAACCGAUCUCUGCCUGUACGUGGGUGUCUGGAUGCACACAAGCGUGUACGGCUGUAUGCGUGUGCAACUUCUACCUGUGUGUGUGUGGGGGGGGGGGGUUAUUUGUAAAUGGCCCCAUGCACGUGAAGUGUGCAAGAACUGAGAAUCCCCC